UAAUAAGUUUUACUUUGUUUUGUUGGAUCUAAAUAAGCUUGGAGACUUUGAGGGAGCUAUCCAAGAAGUGGAAUUAAUAAAAGACAGCAAAGGAGCCCAAAAGGAAUUUAAAGAAGGGAUUGCGGAUGGCCAAAACAGAAUGCGCCCAUCCAAAACCCCAAGACAGCCCAGCGUGAAGAGGUGCUUCUCCAUGCGACUGGCUGACAUGGACAGCAGCAUGGAAUGUGCUCCAGCAGUGUGGGAUUUGCUCCCUUCCUCAAAUGAAAGCUGGUCUACGAAAUGCAUUGGGUUUUAGGAGGGAAACAGGAUCAGAUUUGGGGCACCCUUCCUCUAUAAAUAGGAGGGCCAAUACAUUGUAAAAAAACACUUUAGAGCUUGAAUGUUAUGCUGUAGAAAUGAAUUUCCAGCUUUCCUUGCUCUUGAGUCACCUAUUCUCUUCACUUUCUCUACCCUUUCCUCUAGCUUCCUUCCAUAGUGGGAAGGCCUUCUGAGCUGAGAGGAUAUUCCAAACAUUUCCACCAAUACCGAAACAUCAAACUCCACUGCAUCCAUCCAGAUCCGUUGCAUCAACGCUAUUGUCCGCUGCAUCACUCUGUUUUUCAACCUGCUUGCUAUUUCGAGUUGUUUCACAUUGAUUCCAGACCUUGGCAAGUUUCCAUCAAGUGGUAUCAUGAGUUGUGGUCCUCCACGCAUCCAUAGGUAAGUGUUUCUUCCAUUUUCCAUUCCAAAUUUCAGUCUACUCGUGCUCUCUGUUUUCAGUUAUUGUUUCAUUCUUCUUGUUUCUGUUUUGGUACUUAAAUUGUGAUUCCAUUUCUGAAUUCAGUAAUUACAUUCAGUGCUCAUGUUUAUCCUUCAUUUUAAAUAGUGAAUUUUGUUUGUUUGAGUAAUUUCUAGCUUAAUUGUUUCAAAUCUAAGUUGUCUUGGUCAUGUGCAAGAGAAUAUUGCAGUGUUAAUUCCUGUCACAGUUUGGUACUCUUUCUGUUGUGUUAAUUCUGUUUUUUGAGUUUGGAGUGCUAAAUAAGCUGUAUAUAUACCAACAAAGGCAAUGAGGACUUGAUCUAGCCUGGUAAUACAAGCUAAGCACUAAAAACCGUGAAUUUAUUCUUAAUUCUGCCAAAAUUCUGCAGCAGAAUUUUUUUUAUUCUGGUUUGAAAUCCAAAUCUGGUUUUAACAUUUAAAAUCUAUUUCAGCUUGUUUUAUUUGAUUCUGGUGCUGAGUACAAAUUUGUUUGAUGAUAUUGGAAGUGGCUAAAGGUAUGGCAGACCAUUAAAAGCAAGGAAAUGCAUCUAGCAUAGCUUGGUUGCCUUAAAAACCAGAAGCCUUUGUUGUUUCAGUUUUCACUCUAGCUUUUCACCGUGCUAUCAUUCUUUGCUUGGUCCAAUCUGAGUUUGGUCAUGCUAAGCACUUCAAUUCCAGCUUAGUUCAGUGCAUUUACACUUCUUUGAGUCAUUUUUUCUGUUGUAAAACUUUGAUUCCAUAGAAAACUGAAUUUGGUUGGUUAGUUGAUGGUUUUUGCUGCAUAAAUUGGCUAUAGCAAGGGUGAUUUUCGAAUCUUGUUGUUUCUGUGCUUUUGGAAAGUUUGAGCAAGUCUAAAUGGAUGUUUGAAAGUUGCUAGCACUGUUCAUUUGGUAAAAAAAUGAACCUAUAUGCAGAUUAGCUUUUUAAACCAUCAUUUUUGGGUUAAAAAUGGAAGUGGACCAGUGAUUAUGAUUAUUAAUCAUUUUCUCAGUUGUUUAAGAGUUUAAACAUGCUUAAUAUCAUCAAGAAAAGUUGUUAGAUCAUUCAAAGAAGUUGUUGAAUCACUGCCACUCGUUUUGGGUUCCAAAACCACCAUUUCAGUUCAUUUUUUUGGUGCAGAUUUUCAGUUUCAGCCACUGUUUUGAUUUUUUUUGGUGCAAAUCACUUUUGGAUUGUAGCAAGAGCUGUUUCAUGGUUAUAGAAUGAAAAUAAAUUAUCAAAAAAAUUAAACACAAGUGUUAAAAGGCUUGUAGAACUGCGCAAUCCAGAUUCAAGCACUUAAAACCCCAAAACACAAAAUCUGAAUUUCAUUGGGGCAUUUUAGCAAACACUUUUGUAAAAUAUCAAACAGUUUGAACUGAAUGACUUUGUGAUCUACCAUUUUCGUUUUUAAUUGCUUUCUUCAUCCACUCUAGUGCUAUUCUUAGGUUCAUUUAGUAUGCUUGCUGUUAUUGAGUGUUGUUCCAAUUGAAUUCAUCGAUUUCUUUGACCUCUAAUUGUUGUUCCAGCCACUUUGAUGGCAGAAUUCUGGUGCAGAUUUUUCAAUCUGUUUGUGAUGUUUUGGUGAAUUUUUGGAGUAUGUGUGUAGUCUAAUUGAAUCAUCCAAUAGCAGAAAACUUCUCCUAUUAUGGUAGCCUUCUAGGGAGUGGAUAGGGGAUUGAGAGUGAAGCAAAAAGAGAGGCUUAACAGCAGUCCACAAACUCACGGUCCAGCAGCUAUUUUUCCUCUGUUCCAGCAGCAUUUUAUACACCAUAAAAUCAACUCACACCCUGAUUUGAGUGGCACACUGCAGCAACCAAAGUUUGGAGUUUACUUGCGUUUUAUACAUUAUUUUGAGCUUGUUUGAGUCUUAAUAUCACGGAACCUUUGUAGUUUAUAUCCCUUUACUGUUUUUGAGCUAAGUGACUUGGGAAAAUGCUUUUGAAGCAAUUCAAAGUUCACAUUUGAACAUUGUAAUAGUCCAAUUUCGUUUUCUUAGUGUGGAAGUGUGUCAAGGGGCUCCAAGUGUCACUUGCACUUUCACUUAGGGUCGUCUAGCAUUUACAUUCUUGCAUCUUUAUUGCUUUCUUUAAUUGCUUGUUGAUUUUCUUGUUUUAAGUCUCCGUGGUAUAUAGGAUUGCAUAGCAUAUAGAUAAACCUUCUUUUGGUUUUUAGGAGCAUUUCAUUAUCAUUUGAAAAUAUUUUGAAGGAUUUCUACUUAGAAGUUAAGGUAAGAGAUAACUCUAAGGAAACUUUGGCUAAGGAAGAACUUGGUUUCUAAGCUUGUCCAUUUGUGACUCACCUCUUCUUCCUGGGAACUACUUGGAAACAUUAUUUUACCUCUAGAAUCUCUUUGGAAAUUCUUCACCAGAAACAAAGAAAGUUUGUGAAAAUCUUUUCACUCAUUACUUGUCAACUUUUGAAAACUUUGUGAAAACCUUUUCUCAUUUGACAAGGAUGAGUCAAUCUAGUGUGCAAGGAAGUUUGAAACCUAAUAGUGAGAGUUCACUAAGAGAGGAAUUUGAGCAAAGAUUUCAACAAAGGGAUAGAGAGAUUAGUGAACUCAAAGAAAUGAUUGGUCAACUUUUGGUCAAACAAAACAAGGGCAAAGGGAAAAUAGGGACUUCAUCUUUGAGGAAAGAUUAUCAUGGGGAUACUUUCUCUUUCCCUAGUGAAAAUGAACAAUAUAGUAGUCAUCACAAUGAUGAUCACUAUCAAUUACCUCCUAAGAGAAAUCAUAGAGAGAGAGAAUAUUACCCAAGGGAAACUAGAAUAGAUCUUCCUCCCUUCCAUGGUAGAGAUGAUAUUGAAGAAUAUUUGGAAAGGGAGAUGAAAGUUGAGCAAUUGUUUGAGUGUCACCAAAUAGAUGAUGAGAGGAGAGUAACAAUGGCCUCUUUGAGCUUUCAAGGCUAUGCCUUAUGUUGGUGGACUGCCUUGGUAAAAGACCUAAGAUUGAGACACCUACCUUCCAUUAGGUAUUGGAAUGAAUUGAGGUCUGCCUUAAGAAGAAGGCAUGUUCCAGCCUAUUAUGACAGAGAGUUAAUGGACAAGCUCCAUAAACUUCAAUAAAGAAACAUGAGUGUUGAGGAAUACAGGCAAAAAAUGGAGUUACUUAUGUUAAGAGCUGGGAUAAGAGAGGAACCAAGGAUAACAAUUGCUAGGUUCCAAUGGACUCAAUUAUGACAUAAGAGAUAAGGUAGAACUUUUACCUUAUAAUGAUCUCAAUGAGUUAGUCCAACUUUGUGUUAGAGUAGAGCAACAAUUGAAGAGGAAAACUCCCUCUAAAAAGGACUACUCUAAUUCUUCCUACCUUAGGAAAGAAUCCAAGAGGGAGGUUGAACCCUCCAAAUCAAAAGAAGAGGGACCCAGGGAAAAGGAAAAAGAAAAAUAUCCCUUUAAAGAAUCUUCAAAAAAUGAUAGGGUAAAAGAGACCAAGUGUUUUAGAUGUGGUUACAAAGGGCAUUAUUCUUCUGAGUGUCCUAACAAAAGGUCUACUUUAUCCUAGAACAUCAAAAUGAAGAUGAAGAUUCUUCUAGUGAUUCAAAUACUUCCAUAUUUGAGGAAGAAGCCUUACCUUGUGAAAGAGAGUUGUUAUUAGUGAGAAAACUUAUUGGAAGUCAGCAUAUAAAACUAGAACAAUCACAAAGGGAGAAUCUAUUCCACACAAGAUGCAAAGUUUUUGAAAAUACUUGUUCAUUGAUUGUGGAUAGUGGGUCCUCUUGUAAUUGUUGUAGUUCUAGAAUGGUGGAAAAAUUGGCCNUAACUANUAUUCCUCAUNCCAAGCCUUACAAGCUUCAAUGGAUAAAAGAGGAUGAAGAAAUAGUAGNCAAAACACAAGUAAACAUACCUAUCUCCAUUGGAAACUAUGAAGAAACAAUUUUAUGUGAUGUUGUGCCAAUGGAUGUUGGGCAUGUUCUACUAGGAAGGCCAUGGCAAUAUGAUCAUAACUCCACUCAUGAUGGCUACACCAAUAAGAUAAUUUUUCUCCACAAAGGAAGUAAAAUAACUUUGAUUCCUNUUACACCUCAACAAGUGAAAGAGGAUGAAAUAAAAAUAAAAAUGAAAAUUGAAAAAGAAAGAAAAGAAGAAGAAAGGUUGGAUAACCAACCUUCUAAAGGAGAAAGGAGAAAGGAGAAGAAGGUAUGCAUGUUUUUAAAUUCUUCAUCCAAUGGUAAAUACCUUGAAUCUUCUUCUCAAAAAAAUCACUUUGUUUCAUUAUAUAAUGAAGGGGAAUGUUCAAAACAAAGUGAAAAUAAAAUAAAGGCNAAGGAUACUUCUAAGAAAAUCUUUUUCAAAGAUAAAAGGCCUUUAUUCUGUAUUCUUUUCUUUGGAUACAUCCUUUUAAUAAUGUUCAUUUUUGUUUGUUCUAGAUUUAUUUUUGAUCCAGGAGGGAAGAAAUAAACCAAGUUGUGCUUCUUUAUACCUUUCGAUUUGAGGACAAAUCGUUUUUCAAGAGAGAGGGUAUGAUGGAAUCCUAAUCAGGAAAAUCAUUCAAAGAAGUAACAACUCAAGCUAAGACUAAGAAAGGGAAGUUAAAGAAGGACUUUCUAAAGAUUUCUUGAGUUUCUUUCUCUAAGUCUUAGAAGGAUUAUCUUUUAAUAAGUUUUACUUUGUUUUGUAGGAUCUAAAUAAGCUUGGAGACUUUGAGGGAACUAUUCAAGAAGUGGAAUUAGUAAAAGACAGCAAAGGAGCCCAAAGGGAAUUUGAAGAAGGGCUCGCGGAUCGCGAAAACAGAAUGCGCCCAGCCAAAACCCCAAGAUAGCCCAACGUGAAGAGGUGCUUCUCCAUGUGACUGGCUGACGUGGACAACAGCAUGGAAUGUGCUCCAGCAGCGUGGGAUUUGCUCCCUCCCUCCAAAUGAAAGCUGGUCUACAAAUGCAUUAGGUUUUAGGAAGGAAACGAGAUUAGAUUUGGGGCACCCUUCCUUUAUAAAUAGGAGGGCCAAUACAUUGUAAAAAAACACUUUAGAGCUUGAAUGUUAUGCUGCAGAAAUGAAUUUCCAACUUUCCUUGCUCUUGAGUCACUUAUUCUCUUCACUUUCUCUACCCUUUCCUCUAGUUUCCUUCCAUAGUGAGAAGGCCUUCUGAGCUGAGAGGAUGUUCCAAACAUUUCCACCAAUAUCGAAACAUCAAACUCCACUGCAUCCAUCCAGAUUCGCUACAUCAACACUAUUGUCCGCUGCAUCACUCUACUGUUUGAAGUUGCUUCACAUUGAUUCCAGACCUUGGCAAGUUUCCAUCAGAGUCUUUUGCAUAAUGACACUGUAAUUCCCUUGUACUUCAAUUGUUCCUUCCUCUAAAUACUUCUUCUUGUUACUGAGGAACUGUUUCAUGUGUUUUGCAUAAGAGGGAAUUUGUUGCAGUGCUUCGGUCAAGGGCAUAGUAAUCUCCAAUUUCUUGAAGACAUCCAUGAACCGCCCAAAUUGCUUCUUUUUCUCCUUUCUUGAGAAGACUUUAGGGUACAGAAGAGGCUUCUCAAUUUCUUUUUCUUUUCUUCUCAUAUCUCCCUCUUCUUUCUUUUUCUCUCUUUUAGCACUCUCUUCUUUUUCACUCCCAUUCUCUGCUUUUCUCUCCUCAUUCUUUUUCACAUUAUCUUUCUCUCCAUUCACUGUUUCUAUCUCCUCAGCUUUCUUUUCUUUGUCAUCUCUCUCUCUCAACCAAAACCUUACCACUUCUAGUAGUGAUAACGUUUCAUUCUUCCUUUGGAUUAACCUCAGUAUUGGCUCCAAAACCCUUGUCAGACUUCUCUUCUAACUUCUUGGCUAGUUGGCCCAUUUGGAUCUCCA
rnacentral:lncRNA from 1 species